GCAUAAUCAUUAGUCAUUUAAUUGAUGACUUGUAUGAAGGAUUGGAUGAAAUAUAAACUGUCUCUUAAUUAUUAUAUUUAGAAUUUAAUUUUUUAAUUAAAAAGUUAAAAUAUAUUAAAAAGACGAGAAGACCCUAUAGAGUUUUAUGAAUUAAAUUAAUUAAAAUUAUUUGUAAGAUUAAAAUUAAAAUUAAUUUAUUUAUUUUGUUGGGGUGACAGAAAAAUAUAAUAAACUUUUUAUAUAUUUAAAACAUUAAUAAGUGAUUAAAUGAUCCAAUAUUAUUGAUUAUAAGAAAAAAUUACCUUAGGGAUAACAGCGUAAUUUUUUUUUUUAGUUCAUAUAAAAAAAAAAGUUUGCGACCUCGAUGUUGGAUUAAGAUAAAAUUUAAAUGCAGAAG
rnacentral:rRNA from 1 species